GCUCACCUGUUCCCAUUCCGAACACAGAAGUUAAGCCCACCAGCGCCGAUGGUACUGCGAAUAGCGGGAGAGUAGGUCGCCGCCAGUU
rnacentral:rRNA from 1 species